UACGUAGGGUGCAAGCGUUAAUCGGAAUUACUGGGCGUAAAGCGUGCGCAGGCGGCUAUGCAAGACAGAUGUGAAAUCCCCGGGCUCAACCUGGGAACUGCAUUUGUGACUGCAUGGCUAGAGUACGGUAGAGGGGGAUGGAAUUCCGCGUGUAGCAGUGAAAUGCGUAGAUAUCUGGAGGAAUACCGGUGGCGAAGGCGGCAUCCUGGACCGACAUUGACGCUGAGGAGCGAAAGCUAGGGGAGCAAACGGA
rnacentral:rRNA from 1 species